rnacentral:rRNA from 1 species
UACGUAGGGGGCAAGCGUUGUCCGGAAUCAUUGGGCGUAAAGAGCGUGUAGGCGGUCCGGUAAGUCGGUUGUGAAAGCCCAGGGCUCAACCCUGGGAUGCCGACCGAUACUGUCGGACUAGAGUUCGGAAGAGGCGAGUGGAAUUCCCGGUGUAGCGGUGAAAUGCGCAGAUAUCGGGAGGAACACCUAUGGCGAAGGCGGGUCUCUGGGCCGUAACUGACGCUGAGGAGCGAAAGCAUGGGGAGCGAACAGG